AUUAUUGCAAGGAUGCAAGAAUUGCUUGAUGCAAACAAUAGUAGCAUUACAGCAAAAGAAGCCAGAAAUAAGAGGAGUACUUCUGUGGUACACAACAGUUGUAGUACCCUGGGACAAGAGAAAACUGUUCUCUUCAGUCUUGUCAGAAGAGGGUAUAAUGGACCUUGCUGCAACAAGCAUAGGAGCUCCAUAGAAGCUGCUGCUCCCCACCUCCGAGUUGACUGGGGCUGAACUACUGAAAAAGAAAAGAAAAGCUAUAAAUAAUAGUGAGAGAUGGUGAAUACCUAACCAUCUCUUAAAAGCAGGAAUUUAAGAGAAUAAGUAAUUGAUAAAUGGAGUUAAGAUCGAAAGGAAAAAAAUCCACUGUUGCAGUCAAUAGAGGUAAGAAGUUUUUCAAGUACAUUAGGAACAAAAAUUAGAGUAAUGACACAGAUCUGAUACGGGAUGGGUAUUGCUUCAGUGAGAAAUGAUGAAAAAAACCACAACACAACACGUGUAUGUGUUGUUGGGUAUUUGUAAAAAAAAAACAAAACAACAAAAAAACAGGUUAAUGAAAACUGCAUGCUCAAUUAGAUGAUUUUUUGGUUGUCAUUGGUAGGGAAUUGUGUGCUUUACAACACAAUAUGUGUUAUAUAUAUUUUUAUAUAUGUUUUAAUAAAUAGACUUCAUUAGAUAACUGAUUUUGAAUG
rnacentral:lncRNA from 1 species